rnacentral:rRNA from 1 species
GAUGGUUGGUUUCCAUUUCUGAGUUCGACUGUUACUACGGUAAAUCGCAAGAAACGGAAAAUGGCUGUUGAAUUUCGUCGCACACGAUAUGAAGAACGUGUUGUUGAUGGUUUCUUGCCGAGGGAUUGGCAUGGUUAUUCGGUUUACUUGUGUUCGGAUGUAAUUGGGGUAGAUCGCAACAAAUGGAAAAAGAGGCGUGUGACGAUUAAGUUGCGUCGCCCUGGAUAUGAAGAUGUUGUUGUCCAGAGCCCUUUGCCAAAGGAUUGGCAGGGUUAUUCGGUCAAGUUUGCUGAGUCCUUAAAAGCUUCAUAUGCAGAUAGGUCGUACUAUGGGCCUCCUGAUUUUUUGUGUCAAUACUGUGGUGCUUCCUUCUGGUAUGCCAAGUGUUCUAAGGCCACGUCAUCGUGGACACUGCGUAAGGUGGCUUACUAUCGCUGUUGUAAAGGCGCAAAGGUCUAUAUUCCCCCCUUUAAUGAUCCCCCGGCCUAUCUCCGGGAGCUCCUUCGUUUCGAUGGUACUUCUCGUGCUAAAAAAUUCCUCUGGUCUAUACGUGAGUACAAUUGUAUGUUCGCCUUCACUUCUAUGGGUGCUACUAUCGAGCGUUCGUUUGGUGGUAGCCGGGGGCCUAAGAUUUUUAAGAUUAGUGGU